rnacentral:rRNA from 1 species
GACGUAGGGGGCCAGCGUUGUUCGGAAUUACUGGGUGUAAAGGGUUCGUAGGCGGUGUAGCAAGUCGGGAGUGAAAUCUCUGGGCUUAACCCAGAGGCUGCUUCCGAAACUGCUGUGCUUGAGUGUGGGAGAGGCGCGUGGAAUUGCAGGUGUAGCGGUGAAAUGCGUAGAUAUCUGCAGGAACACCCGUGGCGAAAGCGGCGCGCUGGACCACUACUGACGCUGAGGCACGAAAGCGUGGGGAUCAAACAGG